rfam:Xenopus tropicalis strain Nigerian Chr03_contig_1085, whole genome shotgun sequence.
AAGCAGUGAUGAGUCUAUCCCGAACCUGAGUCUUUGAUGACACACAUAUGGAUCUGACUGCUGAGCU